rnacentral:rRNA from 1 species
GAGGAAUAUUGGUCAAUGGACGAGAGUCUGAACCAGCCAAGUAGCGUGAAGGAUGACUGCCCUAUGGGUUGUAAACUUCUUUUAUACGGGAAUAAAGUGAGGCACGUGUGCCUUUUUGUAUGUACCGUAUGAAUAAGGAUCGGCUAACUCCGUGCCAGCAGCCGCGGUAAUACGGAGGAUCCGAGCGUUAUCCGGAUUUAUUGGGUUUAAAGGGAGCGUAGGCGGACGCUUAAGUCAGUUGUGAAAGUUUGCGGCUCAACCGUAAAAUUGCAGUUGAUACUGGGUGUCUUGAGUACAGUAGAGGCAGGCGGAAUUCGUGGUGUAGCGGUGAAAUGCUUAGAUAUCACGAAGAACUCCGAUUGCGAAGGCAGCCUGCUGGACUGUAACUGACGCUGAUGCUCGAAAGUGUGGGUAUCAAAC